UGGGGAAUAUUGCACAAUGGGCGCAAGCCUGAUGCAGCCAUGCCGCGUGUGUGAAGAAGGCCUUCGGGUUGUAAAGCACUUUCAGCGAGGAGGAAGGUGGUGAGCUUAAUACGCUCAUCAAUUGACGUUACUCGCAGAAGAAGCACCGGCUAACUCCGUGCCAGCAGCCGCGGUAAUACGGAGGGUGCAGGCGUUAAUCGGAAUUACUGGGCGUAAAGCGCACGCAGGCGGUUUGUUAAGUCAGAUGUGAAAUCCCCGGGCUCAACCUGGGAACUGCAUUUGAAACUGGCAAGCUAGAGUCUCGUAGAGGGGGGUAGAAUUCCAGGUGUAGCGGUGAAAUGCGUAGAGAUCUGGAGGAAUACCGGUGGCGAAGGCGGCCCCCUGGACGAAGACUGACGCUCAGGUGCGAAAGCGUGAGGAGCAAACAGGAUUAGAUACCCUGGUAGUCCACGCUGUAAAACGAUGUCGAUUUUGGAGGUUGUGCCCUUGAGGCGUGGCUUCCGGAGCUAACGCGUUAAAUCGACCGCCUGGGGAGUACGGCCGCAAGGUUAAAACUUAAAGGAAUUGACGGGGUCUAGCUG
rnacentral:rRNA from 1 species